UGGGACCUGCAAAGGAGCCGGAAAAGGAGAAGAAGGAGGAGCCAAAAAAGGAAGGUGGUGGCGAGCCGCCGAAGAAAGAAGGAGAAGCUCCAAAAGAAGAAGGUAAAAAGGAAGGAGAAGCUCCGAAGAAGGAAGGAGAGAAGAAAGAAGGUGGCGAUAAGAAGGAAGGAGAGAAGAAAGAUCAACCACAACCGCAGCCACUGCCUCAACCACCACCACCAGAUCCUGUAUUGGAGCUUGUAAAGGCGUAUAAAGCAUAUAAUCCUCAUCUAACAACGUAUUACUACGCCCAAAGCAUUGAGGAAAACCCUAACGCUUGCGUUAUAUGUUGAAAAACAUGUAUAAUGUAAUAUAAUUUGGGUGAAAAAUGUGAAAAGAUGGACCGAUCUAUACUGAAGAAGAAGAAUAAGAAAUAGAGGAUAUAUCUUGGACUAAGAUAUGUCGAUUAGGAUUAGAUCACUUAUGUUCUUUUCCUACAUAACGGGGGAGGGGAUUGAAGUUCAUGUUUCGAAACAGGUUCUUAUUUCGAUGAUAUGUUUUGUGUAUAUAUCGUUGGAAUGUACUAUAAUUUCUAUUGUUUAUUUGUUUGUUUGAACUUUGAAGGGAACUUUUGUAUACAUAUAUACAGUAGGAUGGUGUUAUAUAUAUCGCAUUUUAGUUGUGAAAUACUAAUUAGAGUGCUUCUAUGUGUAUAGUUUUAUUAAUAUCCCAUGUUAUGACGAAAUUGCAAACAGUUUUAGGAUUCUAUAUAUGUUUUAUCUGUCACAUAACUGCGCAAAAUCAUUAACGGUGAGCGCAACAAACCGGUUUCUCUUGCUACUUUUCUUCUAAGCUACUGGCUUUUUCCAUGUCCCUUUCUUUUCCAUUGAUGUAGUUCGUGCUGCGCUUCUGUUAAAAUCAAAUCUUCGUUUAUGUUUCUAGUUUGAUUCUUUCUUUUUUCUUUUUUUUUGAAACACUUUUUUUUUGAAACACUGAUUCUUUGUAAUCUUUUUCAGCUUUGAUAAUUCACGAAAAUUCUUCAACAAAAAAAAUGUUUAUAAUUAUUAGAUUUGCAAAACAGAAAAUAUGUAUUGGAGCCAUUAUAUUUAAAACGUAUGUGGGUGUACGUUCAGGUGCAUAAAUGUUGCUGGGCGGCUUAUAACAUUUAGCUGUAAAUAUGAUGUGAUCGAUUUGUUAAUUUAUAAUUACUUCUGUUUUGCACGAAGCGAAAGGGCAUGGCCUUCAUGACCAUCUGAUGAGUCACUUUUAGAAAUGUAAAAAAGAAGAUAUGGUUCUAGAUUUUGUUCUUCUUAAAAAUAUACCUUUGUUUCGAUCAAAUUUAAAGUUUUGACUAAUUUUUUUCUAACAACACCUAAAAGUAGACCACAUUUUCAAUAGAUUGAAUAAUAUAGUCUUCACAUAACCAAAAAAGCAUUGUAAAUGUUAUUUAACAAGUUGGCUCAACUUGAAACCAAAUGCAAUUGUGAAAGCUUUUGGGUUGGUAGCCACCUAAAAUGUGCAUGUGAAAAAUCAAAUAAAAACUUCGGCUAUUUUAUCAUUAUCAUUUUCAUUAUUAUUGAUAUAAAUUAUUAUGGGUUAGAGGCUUAGAGCAAAAUACAUGACAAAGCAAACUUCCGUGAAUCUAAUAUGAUUUAUUCACUACAAAGGAAAAAAAACGUAUGCCCAUGUCAGUAUUUCUACUAAACAAAUAAAUAUAAUUACGUCGUCAUCUUCCGUAAAAUAAUGUUUUUUCCGUAAAAUAAUGUUGAUAUUGUAAAUGGACAGAGAGAUACAUACACUUAUCUCGAUACAUAUUAUUCUGUAUGAAAAGGAUUGAAUCAUUUUCCAAAAAUAUCGAAUUUGAUAAUUGUAACAUCCCCGAUGUGAUAUAUAAAAAAGUUUAAAAAAAUAAAUUUAACUAUCUAUGUCAUCAAAGUUGAGUUACAUUUUUGGUCACACAUUCGUUUAAAACUCUAGAGCUAAGUGUGCUUAAGCUGGAGUAGUGGAAUGAUGGAUGACCUAUCGGAAAAUGAUUUGCGAUAUCGUACAAGUGAGGGCAAAGCACGAGAAAAAACCGGGUGGUGAUUAGAGGGCGAGUAAAAAAUGAUUUCAAGCUUUUAAAAAAUUUACGCACAGACUGUUGAAACGGGAUGGGCCCACAUGCCGAGAGAGCGGGCGUGGGGCCCAUAUACCGAGAGAGCGGGCGUGGGAGGUCCAUUAGCCGUGGACGGUCGGGCGUUAUAAGUGGUAUUAGAGCUGAUUAGCCAUCUCGGUUAUGACCUGAAAAAACGUCCUGAGAUAUGUUGUGGGGCGCAACAAAGAUGUUGUGGGGCGCAAUAAAGAUGUUGCGUUCUUUGAAAGAGAGUGAAUUAUAAUAUCCCGAGUUGUGAUAUAUGAAAAAGCGUAAGAAAAUUGAUUUGACUAUCUAUAUCAUCAAAGUUGACUUACUUUUUUUGUCACACAUCCGUUUAGAAUUUCAGAAUUAAGUGUGAUUAAGCUGGAGUAGUGGAAGGAUGAGUGGUUUAUCGGAAAGUGAUUCGCGAUAUCGUGCAGGUGAUGCCAAAGCACGAGAAAAAGUCGUGUGGUAAUUGCAGGGUCAGAAAACAAUGAUUUCAAGUCUUUGAAAAAUUUACGCAUCGACCGUUGGAACGGGAUGAGGCCCACGGACUGAGAAAACGAACGUGGAAGACCCAUUAGCCGUGGGCGGUCGGGACGUUAUAAGUGCAGAUCAAGUGGUAACAACUCGUCUUGUGAAAAUAUAGUUAAAGGAUAAAGUCUUGGGUUCGAGGAACGCUAAGCGCAUCAAUAACCUACAUAGGAAAAUUAGUAAAAGUUUACAUGUAAAAAAUUAGUGUCGGUGUCCCGUAGAACUGUGAGUCUAAGUCGCGGGAUGGGUUGUCACAAUAAUUUUGUCAUAUAUUAAACAAUAAGAAAAUUAUGCAUUAUAGCGAGAAUUCGGGCAAUGACACAACAGCGAUACGUUUGUAGAUUAGAUCAAAUCUUGGGUUUGUCUUAUAAUUUUAUUAUGCAUUAUAGCAUAUGGUUAGAUCAAAUCUUGGGUUGUCUUUUUUUUUCUUACUGAAUCUUGGGUUAUCUUAUAAUUUUAUUUUGAUGAUUACCAGAAAAAAAAAACUUUGUGUGAUCAUUAAUAAAGUAAUUUAUUAUAUUUUUCUUACUGUGAAAUAGAUGAAUCAGAGUAUCAGACUACCGGGUUGUCAUUUCGAAAUUUCAUUCGGGAGAUUAAUACGUGUAUGAACCGUAUCAAUAUCAGCCAAGAGCCGGACCAAAGCACGCCCUGUCUUCACCGCUUACCUACCAAGUGUUAAGAGCAUAUAAAUAAAGUAAUAAACACAAACACAUAUGUGUGGUAUAAAUAUGGUUUCGUCAGCUUAAUAACUUUCCUAAUCUGAGAUUUAUGAAAUCGACAACUACUAGCUUAUAGUUUACCAAAAAAAAGCUGAAUCAUAUCUUUUGUUUCAUUCAAGCUGACGCUUAAUCAUUAGAGAUGUCACCAUGUUUGAAUAGCUGAACAUUCUUACCAAAUUUGUCACUUUGUAACGAUUUUAAUAAUUUGGUUUUUAUCAUGUAUGGUGCAGCUAAACUGCUGAUGAAACUUUCAGCGCCCACCGUAUUAUUGGCUAAGGCACAAUUAUAUAGAAUGUUCAGGAUUAAGUACACUUAAUAAUUGUUUUAAAAAAGAAUAGGCAUGGUGGCAUGCAUGUGUGAUGUGUGAGGUAUUGGGCGAACAACUAAACAUGGUUCUAGAAAAAUCGAAUAAUUAGCUUAACAAAUCCUCCAUUACGUACAUAUCAACCUCCCCAACUAAUAAACUGUAGAAUCCCAAUUAUAGAUUAUAAAAGUAUAAAUAUUUCAUUUAUUACACACAACAAUUCAAGAAAACCUUCCAAAAGGACAACUACUACAUACAAGCACUACUAGGAUAAUCCAUGGAUCAAAUCCUGAGUAAGAAAAAAAAAGACAGCAAGAAACUAAGCACACAAAUCUUAAAAGUUACCAUUUGACCCCCAGAAAAAAAGCUUGUAGUCAUAAAAAAACAUAAGCUUAACGACUUACUAAGUAAAGAUCAAUUAACACUUGGGGCGACGAGUUCAUCCAAUUGCUCAAGCGUCCAGCCUUAUUGUUUUAUGUUCGGAGAAGAGGUGAAUGUGGUGACAUUAUCCCCGGCGAAGAGAGUCCAUCCUCGUAAAGUCGUCGGAAACUCAGUCGGAGAUUGCUCUGCUUCCAUUUCUGCUUCUUAGCAUUGUUGUUCUGAAUUACCUGAUCAUUAUCCGAUGCUUUCUCAGCGGUCUUGUUGCUAUUCUUGGACACAAAAUCUUGGAUCCGUAGAAGCGCCACAUGGAGAGUAUCAUCAUCCAUGUUGGCAAAGCAAACCCUAAACCAGCCAGGUUCCGUGCACUGGAAGGAAGAGCCUGGCGAAACAUUGAGCUUCACUUUGUCGAUGAUUAUAUGCCAAAGCUCGAUCUCGGAUUCAAACGAGUUACGAACUCUCAGUAGAUGUCUCAGAUCCAUCCACACGAAUAAACCUGCAGUGCUUAUCAAGCAAUUAAUACCUGCUUUCUUGAGCCCUAGGGUAAAAACACCAUGCCUUAUCCCUAAUCUUUUUGAACUUUCCAUGAGGAAAUUAUCCACGAAACUAUCAUCCGACAACAUCGAAGCAAGCAUGAACUGUGUCUGAGACGAAACUAGUCCGAAACUCGACAUCUUUCUUGCGCAUGACACAACCGAGUCGUUGUAAGAAUAGACUAUACCAACUCUAAAACCGGGAAGUCCCAUGUCUUUCGAGAGACUAUAAACAAUGUGAAUCAAGUCAGCGUUGACUUCAGAGUCUUUGACCACCUCAGCGACGCUCACAAAAUUUUCUCCAGCAAAGACGGUGGCAGCGUAGAUCUCGUCAACGACUAGGUGAAUGUUCUUUUUCGUGACGAAUCGGACUAAGUUCUCAAGUGUGUCCUUGUCUAAGAUUGUACCGAGCGGAUUUGAUGGGUUGGUGAAGAGUAGGCCUUUGACAUUCUUGUUGGACUCUACAGCUUUUUUGUAGGCCCAUUCCACGGCCUCGACGGUUAAUUUGAAGUUGUUGGAGCUGGAACAGUGAACCGGGACUAUCUCGACACCUGUACGCCACCUCAAGUCUCUAUCAAAUCUGUAAAAGGAAAAAAAGGUUUAAUGCUUCUGUGAGCUUCGCGUUGAAUCAAGACCACCAAAUUUAGUUGAUAUACCUUACACGUGUGUCAAAAGUAGAAAAGAGAGUCAAAACUUGAUACUAAUACUAUUAACACAUUUUGAUUUGAAAUUUGUUAACCCAAAACCAAAAGUAUAUGAGUGUUACAUUCAUGAAAUUUCCCCUAACUUUUUUCUCUCUUUUCUUUAAAACCUGUUCACACUAUCCAUAAUCAUAACACUUUUUCCUUAUUUUACAAAAAAAAUAGCAUUUUAACAAUUUCCGGUCAAUAAUUUUGAAAAUUUAAAACAUAUUAAAAACAUUACUUUAAAAUGUAUAUAUUGUCAAAAUGUGAAAAUACUUACGCCGCAUAAUAAGGAGAGGGAACAAGAAAAACAUCGCCUGGAUCGGCGAGGCAGAACAUAAUCGUUUCAUUGGCUCCGGUCGCCCCGCCACUCAUCACUAUCCUCUCCGGAUCAAACGUUACUCUUCCACCUCUAGCCUUUCCCAUGAAAUGUGCAAUUGCCUUCAAUUUGAAAAGUUCGGUUAAAUAAUUGCCUUAUAUUAAGCUAUCUUUUAUCUACCAAACAUAUCAAAACUAGAUUUCUUUAUCCUAUGCAUUACAUAUCUACUGAUGUUUGAAUGCUAUAGGUGAGAUAUUUGUCCAAACUGGUUAUUUUGUCGAUAUCUGAACAAACCAUGGACAAAACCGAAUUAAAACAGCAAGGGAAUUUACUGAAAAAAAUAUGUUUUACGUUUUCAAGAGUAACUAUAUUAUCCUUAAGAUAUGUAUGUGUGAAAUAUUUGUCCAAACUGGUUAUUUUGUCGAUAUCGAACAAACCAUGGUGCGUGCGUACGUCUGUUAACCUAAAAUAUGUACUAAUUAAUGACAGACAUGAUUAAGUCUAAAUACCUGUCUGAACUCUUUAAGGCCAUGAUAGUCUUGGAAAUUAGCGAUGUCGCUGAAUUGAUGAACACCCUCAGGGGUGCAAACAGAAGCUUUUGGGUUCUCUUUGAUCCACUCUUUGAUCAGGUCUAAACAAAGCUGUAAUUUAUAGAAACAAAAUUGUGUUAAAUGAUGCAUAUAAAAGGUCACAUUAAUCAUACACAAGAGAGUUUUAUACACAAGGGCGUAAACGUGUAAUGCUUUAUUGGUUUAUUAUUUGAUUUGUAAUAUAUAUGGAUAUACCUGAUUCUCUGCAAGACCCAUUUGGAUAAUCCCGUGGGGAUUUCGAGAAAGAUGAAAAGGAUUUUUGUCGUAAGAUUUCCAUCCAUCAAAAUACUCUGAGUUUUCUCCGUGCUGGUCGUUGGUCGCUAUUCUCGACAAAAUAGCACCGGUGUAACCGCCACUCUUUUUCAGAGAACCCAUUUGUUGUUUCUAUUUUCGCUUCUUUCUUGCAGUUUUUUUGCUUCUUCCAAGUAUCAAUAUUGAUCGUAUAACUGGUUUGUGGUGUUUGUACUAAUUGGUGCAUGAGUAUAUGGUUUAUAUAUAGGAUGUAGGUUGAAAACAGUGAGGAGACCAAAUAAAGUUGAUAUGGGGUCCCCCCUACCCAAAGAAAAAGAGUUCGGAUUUGAUGAAACAAUCGAAAAAGAACAAGCAAAAUCAAGGAAGAUUCUCCACCCAAAACAAAAUACGUAGCUGUUUAUAUAUAUAUUUUUUCUUGUAAUACACCUGUUUAUAUUUUCAAAAUGUGAUUUUUGUAAGGUGAACCAAAGUUGUCAUAUUUCAGUAAUUUUGCUAGGAUCAACCUGUAUUGUAUAAAACAAUAAACAUCUAGUAUUUUUAAAAACAUAAUAUUUCGAAUGUGAUAUACGAUAACAUACAUAAGUAGUCGUAUUUCAAUAGUUUCGCAUUGGUUUCUGUUGUAUUAUUAAAUUCCAUUGGGAAAUAGUGGUGGAAGUUAUACGUGUACAGUGUACUGAGUUAAACCGAAGGCUAUUUCUAAGCAGCUUCUUAUAGACUACGAAGUCAAGCAAGUAAGUUAGAGAAGAGUAGCGUGGAGAAGAAUAUUUUUUUUUUUUUUUUUUUGAAUAGUUAAACUUCUUCUCAUCCUCAGUUUUCUCUAACUAAGAGACAAUCUUCUUUUGCAUCUCUCUCUCUCUGCAAACAAAAGCCAAAUCCAAAAAAAAAAACAGAGAGCAAUGAAGGUUCAUCUCUUACUCUUUCUCUCUCUCUCUACACUAUGCAAGAUUUGAUUCCUAGUACUUGAAUUUCUAUAUGAAAACGGGUUUAGAUUCUUGUUCGUACACACAUAAACACAUGCAUGCAUGUCCCUGUGUGUAUGUGUAUGCGUAUACCACACAUCAGUUGUGUUUUUAGUGUAUUCUUUUAAACCUUCAAAUCUGUGUAUACCUGAAAAGAGAAGAUUAGUUAACUCAUCUUUGUGCUCACGUCACUUUAGCUAUAUAUUUCACUGAAUCUCAUAGAAACUGUCUGUCUUUUGUAAUAAUUGUGCAGAAAAUCGUGUUAAAGUUGGAUCUGCAUGAUGAUAAGGCCAAACAAAAAGCUCUUAAAACAGUUUCUACUCUCCCAGGUAAUCAUCCUCAUCAAUUAUUUAUUUUGUUCUCAGCAGUCAGCAUGUUUCCUAGAAAAAAAAUUGUUAGGGUACACAUUACAGAUCUCUUUAUGUAUAGUUAUCACUUAUAAUUCUAAGCAAACUAUUAAACCAUUUGUUUCCGGUCAAUUUGGUCCGGUUCAGUUUCUGAUUUGUUUGGUGGGGUACACGUAUAAACAAGAAAAUUGUUACUAUAAAUUUUCUUUCAACAAUCACGAGCUGUUCUGACAGAGCUGUCUCCUCGUUUUCAACAGUGACGGCACGGUAGAAAGUUGCGCCAUAUUUCAAUUAUUUGUGAAAUGAAACCCAUUGCUUUAAAAAAAAAGAGUUUUGGAACAAAAUCACAUCUAGGGCCACUAUAGCUUCAUUGAAAGAUGUGCCCAUCAAUUAUAAUAAAAUGUCAAGUAUUUUUUGUUUGUUUUUAAUCCACAGUAUUUUACUUUACUUAUCAGUAUUGUCAAUAAAAUGCGGUGACUUUUAUCUAUAGGGAAACAACUUAAAUAGUUUUAAGAAAAUUGUAGUAACUUUCACCUCAUUUUUAAUAGGUAUCGAUUCGAUUGCAAUGGACAUGAAAGAGAAGAAGUUAACGGUGAUAGGAACCGUGGAUCCUGUUAAUGUAGUCAGUAAGCUAAGGAAGUAUUGGCCGAUGACGGAUAUCAUACUGGUGGGACCUGCAAAGGAGCCGGAAAAGGAGAAGAAGGAGGAGCCAAAAAAGGAAGGUGGUGGCGAGCCGCCGAAGAAAGAAGGAGAAGCUCCAAAAGAAGAAGGUAAAAAGGAAGGAGAAGCUCCGAAGAAGGAAGGAGAGAAGAAAGAAGGUGGCGAUAAGAAGGAAGGAGAGAAGAAAGAUCAACCACAACCGCAGCCACUGCCUCAACCACCACCACCAGAUCCUGUAUUGGAGCUUGUAAAGGCGUAUAAAGCAUAUAAUCCUCAUCUAACAACGUAUUACUACGCCCAAAGCAUUGAGGAAAACCCUAACGCUUGCGUUAUAUGUUGAAAAACAUGUAUAAUGUAAUAUAAUUUGGGUGAAAAAUGUGAAAAGAUGGACCGAUCUAUACUGAAGAAGAAGAAUAAGAAAUAGAGGAUAUAUCUUGGACUAAGAUAUGUCGAUUAGGAUUAGAUCACUUAUGUUCUUUUCCUACAUAACGGGGGAGGGGAUUGAAGUUCAUGUUUCGAAACAGGUUCUUAUUUCGAUGAUAUGUUUUGUGUAUAUAUCGUUGGAAUGUACUAUAAUUUCUAUUGUUUAUUUGUUUGUUUGAACUUUGAAGGGAACUUUUGUAUACAUAUAUACAGUAGGAUGGUGUUAUAUAUAUCGCAUUUUAGUUGUGAAAUACUAAUUAGAGUGCUUCUAUGUGUAUAGUUUUAUUAAUAUCCCAUGUUAUGACGAAAUUGCAAACAGUUUUAGGAUUCUAUAUAUGUUUUAUCUGUCACAUAACUGCGCAAAAUCAUUAACGGUGAGCGCAACAAACCGGUUUCUCUUGCUACUUUUCUUCUAAGCUACUGGCUUUUUCCAUGUCCCUUUCUUUUCCAUUGAUGUAGUUCGUGCUGCGCUUCUGUUAAAAUCAAAUCUUCGUUUAUGUUUCUAGUUUGAUUCUUUCUUUUUUCUUUUUUUUUGAAACACUUUUUUUUUGAAACACUGAUUCUUUGUAAUCUUUUUCAGCUUUGAUAAUUCACGAAAAUUCUUCAACAAAAAAAAUGUUUAUAAUUAUUAGAUUUGCAAAACAGAAAAUAUGUAUUGGAGCCAUUAUAUUUAAAACGUAUGUGGGUGUACGUUCAGGUGCAUAAAUGUUGCUGGGCGGCUUAUAACAUUUAGCUGUAAAUAUGAUGUGAUCGAUUUGUUAAUUUAUAAUUACUUCUGUUUUGCACGAAGCGAAAGGGCAUGGCCUUCAUGACCAUCUGAUGAGUCACUUUUAGAAAUGUAAAAAAGAAGAUAUGGUUCUAGAUUUUGUUCUUCUUAAAAAUAUACCUUUGUUUCGAUCAAAUUUAAAGUUUUGACUAAUUUUUUUCUAACAACACCUAAAAGUAGACCACAUUUUCAAUAGAUUGAAUAAUAUAGUCUUCACAUAACCAAAAAAGCAUUGUAAAUGUUAUUUAACAAGUUGGCUCAACUUGAAACCAAAUGCAAUUGUGAAAGCUUUUGGGUUGGUAGCCACCUAAAAUGUGCAUGUGAAAAAUCAAAUAAAAACUUCGGCUAUUUUAUCAUUAUCAUUUUCAUUAUUAUUGAUAUAAAUUAUUAUGGGUUAGAGGCUUAGAGCAAAAUACAUGACAAAGCAAACUUCCGUGAAUCUAAUAUGAUUUAUUCACUACAAAGGAAAAAAAACGUAUGCCCAUGUCAGUAUUUCUACUAAACAAAUAAAUAUAAUUACGUCGUCAUCUUCCGUAAAAUAAUGUUUUUUCCGUAAAAUAAUGUUGAUAUUGUAAAUGGACAGAGAGAUACAUACACUUAUCUCGAUACAUAUUAUUCUGUAUGAAAAGGAUUGAAUCAUUUUCCAAAAAUAUCGAAUUUGAUAAUUGUAACAUCCCCGAUGUGAUAUAUAAAAAAGUUUAAAAAAAUAAAUUUAACUAUCUAUGUCAUCAAAGUUGAGUUACAUUUUUGGUCACACAUUCGUUUAAAACUCUAGAGCUAAGUGUGCUUAAGCUGGAGUAGUGGAAUGAUGGAUGACCUAUCGGAAAAUGAUUUGCGAUAUCGUACAAGUGAGGGCAAAGCACGAGAAAAAACCGGGUGGUGAUUAGAGGGCGAGUAAAAAAUGAUUUCAAGCUUUUAAAAAAUUUACGCACAGACUGUUGAAACGGGAUGGGCCCACAUGCCGAGAGAGCGGGCGUGGGGCCCAUAUACCGAGAGAGCGGGCGUGGGAGGUCCAUUAGCCGUGGACGGUCGGGCGUUAUAAGUGGUAUUAGAGCUGAUUAGCCAUCUCGGUUAUGACCUGAAAAAACGUCCUGAGAUAUGUUGUGGGGCGCAACAAAGAUGUUGUGGGGCGCAAUAAAGAUGUUGCGUUCUUUGAAAGAGAGUGAAUUAUAAUAUCCCGAGUUGUGAUAUAUGAAAAAGCGUAAGAAAAUUGAUUUGACUAUCUAUAUCAUCAAAGUUGACUUACUUUUUUUGUCACACAUCCGUUUAGAAUUUCAGAAUUAAGUGUGAUUAAGCUGGAGUAGUGGAAGGAUGAGUGGUUUAUCGGAAAGUGAUUCGCGAUAUCGUGCAGGUGAUGCCAAAGCACGAGAAAAAGUCGUGUGGUAAUUGCAGGGUCAGAAAACAAUGAUUUCAAGUCUUUGAAAAAUUUACGCAUCGACCGUUGGAACGGGAUGAGGCCCACGGACUGAGAAAACGAACGUGGAAGACCCAUUAGCCGUGGGCGGUCGGGACGUUAUAAGUGCAGAUCAAGUGGUAACAACUCGUCUUGUGAAAAUAUAGUUAAAGGAUAAAGUCUUGGGUUCGAGGAACGCUAAGCGCAUCAAUAACCUACAUAGGAAAAUUAGUAAAAGUUUACAUGUAAAAAAUUAGUGUCGGUGUCCCGUAGAACUGUGAGUCUAAGUCGCGGGAUGGGUUGUCACAAUAAUUUUGUCAUAUAUUAAACAAUAAGAAAAUUAUGCAUUAUAGCGAGAAUUCGGGCAAUGACACAACAGCGAUACGUUUGUAGAUUAGAUCAAAUCUUGGGUUUGUCUUAUAAUUUUAUUAUGCAUUAUAGCAUAUGGUUAGAUCAAAUCUUGGGUUGUCUUUUUUUUUCUUACUGAAUCUUGGGUUAUCUUAUAAUUUUAUUUUGAUGAUUACCAGAAAAAAAAAACUUUGUGUGAUCAUUAAUAAAGUAAUUUAUUAUAUUUUUCUUACUGUGAAAUAGAUGAAUCAGAGUAUCAGACUACCGGGUUGUCAUUUCGAAAUUUCAUUCGGGAGAUUAAUACGUGUAUGAACCGUAUCAAUAUCAGCCAAGAGCCGGACCAAAGCACGCCCUGUCUUCACCGCUUACCUACCAAGUGUUAAGAGCAUAUAAAUAAAGUAAUAAACACAAACACAUAUGUGUGGUAUAAAUAUGGUUUCGUCAGCUUAAUAACUUUCCUAAUCUGAGAUUUAUGAAAUCGACAACUACUAGCUUAUAGUUUACCAAAAAAAAGCUGAAUCAUAUCUUUUGUUUCAUUCAAGCUGACGCUUAAUCAUUAGAGAUGUCACCAUGUUUGAAUAGCUGAACAUUCUUACCAAAUUUGUCACUUUGUAACGAUUUUAAUAAUUUGGUUUUUAUCAUGUAUGGUGCAGCUAAACUGCUGAUGAAACUUUCAGCGCCCACCGUAUUAUUGGCUAAGGCACAAUUAUAUAGAAUGUUCAGGAUUAAGUACACUUAAUAAUUGUUUUAAAAAAGAAUAGGCAUGGUGGCAUGCAUGUGUGAUGUGUGAGGUAUUGGGCGAACAACUAAACAUGGUUCUAGAAAAAUCGAAUAAUUAGCUUAACAAAUCCUCCAUUACGUACAUAUCAACCUCCCCAACUAAUAAACUGUAGAAUCCCAAUUAUAGAUUAUAAAAGUAUAAAUAUUUCAUUUAUUACACACAACAAUUCAAGAAAACCUUCCAAAAGGACAACUACUACAUACAAGCACUACUAGGAUAAUCCAUGGAUCAAAUCCUGAGUAAGAAAAAAAAAGACAGCAAGAAACUAAGCACACAAAUCUUAAAAGUUACCAUUUGACCCCAUCUCUCUCUCUCUCUCUCUCUCUUGAUCUCCCGUAGUUGUCAGGAUUUAGGAUUUUUUUUUUUAAUAAAAAAGAUCAGUGUCCAAUCUCUCUUAUCAUCUUCGAAAGUUUCCUAUUAUUUCAUUCUUCUUCUCAUCCUCAGUUUUCUCUAACUAAGAGACAAUCUUCUUUUGCAUCUCUCUCUCUCUGCAAACAAAAGCCAAAUCCAAAAAAAAAAACAGAGAGCAAUGAAGGUUCAUCUCUUACUCUUUCUCUCUCUCUCUACACUAUGCAAGAUUUGAUUCCUAGUACUUGAAUUUCUAUAUGAAAACGGGUUUAGAUUCUUGUUCGUACACACAUAAACACAUGCAUGCAUGUCCCUGUGUGUAUGUGUAUGCGUAUACCACACAUCAGUUGUGUUUUUAGUGUAUUCUUUUAAACCUUCAAAUCUGUGUAUACCUGAAAAGAGAAGAUUAGUUAACUCAUCUUUGUGCUCACGUCACUUUAGCUAUAUAUUUCACUGAAUCUCAUAGAAACUGUCUGUCUUUUGUAAUAAUUGUGCAGAAAAUCGUGUUAAAGUUGGAUCUGCAUGAUGAUAAGGCCAAACAAAAAGCUCUUAAAACAGUUUCUACUCUCCCAGGUAAUCAUCCUCAUCAAUUAUUUAUUUUGUUCUCAGCAGUCAGCAUGUUUCCUAGAAAAAAAAUUGUUAGGGUACACAUUACAGAUCUCUUUAUGUAUAGUUAUCACUUAUAAUUCUAAGCAAACUAUUAAACCAUUUGUUUCCGGUCAAUUUGGUCCGGUUCAGUUUCUGAUUUGUUUGGUGGGGUACACGUAUAAACAAGAAAAUUGUUACUAUAAAUUUUCUUUCAACAAUCACGAGCUGUUCUGACAGAGCUGUCUCCUCGUUUUCAACAGUGACGGCACGGUAAAAAGUUGCGCCAUAUUCAAUUAUUUGUGAAAUGAAACCCAUUGCUUUUCUUUUUUUUUUUUUUAAGUUUUGGAACAAAAUCACAUCAAGGGCCACUAUAGCUUUCAUUGAAAGAUGUGCCCAUCAAUUAUAAUAAAAUGUCAAGUAUUUUUUGUUUGUUUUUAAUCCACAGUAUUUUACUUUACUUAUCAGUAUUGUCAAUAAAAUGCGGUGACUUUUAUCUAUAGGGAAACAACUUAAAUAGUUUUAAGAAAAUUGUAGUAACUUUCACCUCAUUUUUAAUAGGUAUCGAUUCGAUUGCAAUGGACAUGAAAGAGAAGAAGUUAACGGUGAUAGGAACCGUGGAUCCUGUUAAUGUAGUCAGUAAGCUAAGGAAGUAUUGGCCGAUGACGGAUAUCAUACUGGUGGGACCUGCAAAGGAGCCGGAAAAGGAGAAGAAGGAGGAGCCAAAAAAGGAAGGUGGUGGCGAGCCGCCGAAGAAAGAAGGAGAAGCUCCAAAAGAAGAAGGUAAAAAGGAAGGAGAAGCUCCGAAGAAGGAAGGAGAGAAGAAAGAAGGUGGC
rnacentral:lncRNA from 1 species